rnacentral:rRNA from 1 species
GAGUUUGAUCCUGGCUCAGGACGAACGCUGGCGGCGUGCUUAACACAUGCAAGUCGAGCGGUAAGGCCCUUUCGGGGGUACACGAGCGGCGAACGGGUGAGUAACACGUGGGUAACCUGCCCUCAGCUCUGGGACAAGCCCGGGAAACUGGGUCUAAUACCGGAUAUGACUCCGCAUCGCAUGGUGUGGGGUGGAAAGCCUUGUGCGGCUGAGGAUGGGCCCGCGGCCUAUCAGCUUGUUGGUGGGGUAGUGGCCUACCAAGGCGACGACGGGUAGCCGGCCUGAGAGGGCGACCGGCCACACUGGGACUGAGACACGGCCCAGACUCCUACGGGAGGCAGCAGUGGGGAAUAUUGCGCAAUGGGCGAAAGCCUGACGCAGCGACGCCGCGUGAGGGAUGACGGCCUUCGGGUUGUAAACCUCUUUCAGCUCCGACGAAGCCUUCGGGUGACGGUAGGGGCAGAAGAAGCACCGGCCAACUACGUGCCAGCAGCCGCGGUAAUACGUAGGGUGCAAGCGUUGUCCGGAAUUAUUGGGCGUAAAGAGCUCGUAGGCGGUUUGUCGCGUCGACUGUGAAAACUCAGGGGCUCAACUCCGAGCUUGCAGUUGAUACGGGCAGACUAGAGUUCGGCAGGGGAGACUGGAAUUCCUGGUGUAGCGGUGAAAUGCGCAGAUAUCAGGAGGAACACCGGUGGCGAAGGCGGGUCUCUGGGCCGAUACUGACGCUGAGGAGCGAAAGCGUGGGGAGCGAACAGGAUUAGAUACCCUGGUAGUCCACGCCGUAAACGUUGGGCGCUAGGUGUGGGGUCCCUUCCACGGGUUCCGUGCCGCAGCU